UACGAAGGGGGCUAGCGUUGCUCGGAAUCACUGGGCGUAAAGCGCACGUAGGCGGAUUGCUAAGUCAGGGGUGAAAUCCUGGGAGCUCAACUCCAGAACUGCCCUUUGAUACUGGCGAUCUCGAGUCCGGGAGAGGUGAGUGGAACUGCGAGUGUAGAGGUGAAAUUCGUAGAUAUUCGCAAGAACACCAGUGGCGAAGGCGGCUCACUGGCCCGGUACUGACGCUGAGGUGCGAAAGCGUGGGGGAGCAAACA
rnacentral:rRNA from 1 species